rnacentral:rRNA from 1 species
UCGAUUAGAGUUUGAUUAUGGCUCAGAAUCAACGCUGGCGGCGCGCCUAACACAUGCAAGUCGAACGAGAAAGUGGAGCAAUCCAUGAGUACAGUGGCGUACGGGUGAGUAACACGUGGGUGAUCUACCUCUUAGUGAGGAAUAACCCUGGGAAACCGGGGCUAAUACCGCAUGAGCCUGAGAAGGGAAAGCAGAAAUGCGCUGAGAGAGGAGCCCGCGGCCGAUUAGCUAGUUGGUGGGGUAAGAGCCUACCAAGGCAGAGAUCGGUAGCCGGCCUGAGAGGGCACACGGCCACACUGGCACUGAAACACGGGCCAGACUCCUACGGGAGGCAGCAGUGGGGAAUCUUGCACAAUGGGGGAAACCCUGAUGCAGCGACGCCGCGUGAGCGAUGAAGCCCUUCGGGGUGUAAAGCUCUUUCGGCAGGGAAGAUAGUGACGGUACCUGCAGAAGCAGCUGCGGCUAACUACGUGCCAGCAGCCGCGGUAAUACGUAGGCAGCAAGCGUUGUUCGGAGUUACUGGGCGUAAAGGGUGUGUAGGCGGUUCUUUAAGUUUGGUGUGAAAUCUCCCGGCUUNNNCGGGAGGGUGCGCCGAAUACUGAGGGACUAGAGUACGGGAGAGGAAAGUGGAAUU